GACGAACGCUGGCGGCGUGCUUAACACAUGCAAGUCGAACGGAAAGGCCCUGCUUUUGUGGGGUGCUCGAGUGGCGAACGGGUGAGUAACACGUGAGUAACCUGCCCUUGACUUUGGGAUAACUUCAGGAAACUGGGGCUAAUACCGGAUAGGAGCUCCUGCUGCAUGGUGGGGGUUGGAAAGUUUCGGCGGUUGGGGAUGGACUCGCGGCUUAUCAGCUUGUUGGUGGGGUAGUGGCUUACCAAGGCUUUGACGGGUAGCCGGCCUGAGAGGGUGACCGGCCACAUUGGGACUGAGAUACGGCCCAGACCGCUACGGGAGGCAGCAGUGGGGAAUAUUGAACAAUGGGAGGAAGCCUGAUGCAGCAACGCCGCGUGCGGGAUGACGGCCUUCGGGUUGUAACCCGCUUUCGCCUGUGACGAAGCGUGAGUGACGGUAAUGGGUAAAGAAGCACCGGCUAACUACGUG
rnacentral:rRNA from 1 species